GAUGAAGAACGCAGCGAAAUGCGAUAAGUAGUGUGAAUUGCAGAAUUCAGUGAAUCAUCGAAUCUUUGAACGCACAUUGCGCCCUUUGGUAUUCCAUGGGGCAUGCCUGUUCGAGCGUCAUUUGUACCCUCAAGCUAUGCUUGGUGUUGGGUGUUUGUCCUCUCCUUUGCGAUUGGACUCGCCUUAAAGACAUUGGCAGCCAGUGUAUUGGUCUUGAAGCGCAGCACAUUUUGCGAUUCUUGCUGAUAAUCACUAGCGUCCAGUAAGCCUAUUUUAACACUUUUGACCUCGGAUCAGGUAGGGAUACCCGCUGAACUUAAGCAUAUCAAUAAGCGGAGGA
rnacentral:misc_RNA from 1 species